GACGAACGCUGGCGGCGUGCUUAACACAUGCAAGUCGAACGGAAAGGCCCUGCUUUGGUGGGGUGCUCGAGUGGCGAACGGGUGAGUAACACGUGAGUAACCUGCCCUUGACUUUGGGAUAACUUCAGGAAACUGGGGCUAAUACCGGAUAGGAGCUCCUGCUGCAUGGUGGGGGUUGGAAAGUUUCGGCGGUUGGGGAUGGACUCGCGGCUUAUCAGCUUGUUGGUGGGGUAGUGGCUUACCAAGGCUUUGGGGUAGCCGGCCUGAGAGGGUGACCGGCCACAUUGGGACUGAGAUACGGCCCAGACUCCUACGGGAGGCAGCAGUGGGGAAUAUUGCACAAUGGGCGGAAGCCUGAUGCAGCAACGCCGCGUGCGGGAUGACGGCCUUCGGGUUGUAAACCGCUUUCGCCUGUGACGAAGCGUGAGUGACGGUAAUGGGUAAAGAAGCACCGGCUAACUACGUG
rnacentral:rRNA from 1 species